CUCCAUCUUUAAAAUACCUUAGCCAAGGAGGGACAUACAGUACCUCUGCCUUUUGCUCUUUCGGACUCAAUAGCACCGUGAUGAAUGCCAGCCGGGAGGGAAAAAGAGAAUUAAAACAACAACGCAACAGGUAAAGCAACAAGACCAAAGUUAAUAUAGGAGUGGCUAGAAGAGCUGCGUAUAAACGAUGGAGGGAG